rnacentral:rRNA from 1 species
UCCAGCCUACGGGGGGCAGCAGUGGGGAAUAUUGCACAAUGGGGGAAACCCUGAUGCAGCAACGCCGCGUGAGUGAAGAAGUCAUUCGUGAUGUAAAGCUCUAUCAGCAGGGAAGAAAAUGACGGUACCUGAGUAAGAAGCCCCGGCUAACUACGUGCCAGCAGCCGCGGUAAUACGUAGGGGGCAAGCGUUAUCCGGAUUUACUGGGUGUAAAGGGAGCGUAGACGGCCGUUCAAGCCAGAUGUGAAAGCCCGGGGCUCAACCCCGGGACUGCAUUUGGAACUGUUGGUCUUGAGUAUCGGAGG